rnacentral:rRNA from 1 species
UACGGAGGGUGCAAGCGUUAUCCGGAUUCACUGGAUUUAAAGGGUGCGUAGGUGGGCAAGUAAGUCAGUGGUGAAAUCUCCGGGCUUAACCCGGAAACUGCCAUUGAUACUAUUUGUCUUGAAUACUGUGGAGGUCAGCGGAAUAUGUCAUGUAGCGGUGAAAUGCUUAGAUAUGACAUAGAACACCAAUUGCGAAGGCAGCUGGCUACACAAAUAUUGACACUGAGGCACGAAAGCGUGGGGAUCAAACAGG